rnacentral:lncRNA from 1 species
AUAGACCUCCAAAUUUCAACUAUAUCUGUUAUAUUUCUGUUAAUUUAACUAAAUGUAAAGUUCUCAUGGACCUCUGGAGUGUCACCAAGUAUAUAGUCCUUGUUUCUUUGACUUGCUUGAAUAUGUCAUUUAAGUUCAGAUCUCAGUUGUAAAACAGGGAUAAUGCUUAACAUAUCCAAGGACAGGAGCCUAGCUUAGGUGAACCCUUAUUUUCCUAU